AAUGAACGCUGGCGGCAGGCCUAAAACAUGCAAGUCGAACGCUGUAGCAAUACAGAGUGGCGCACGGGUGAGUAACAUGUGGGUAUAUGCCUUUUGGUACGGAACAACGUCUGGAAACGGACGCUAAUACCGUAUGGUCCCUUCGGGGUAAAGAUUUAUCGCCAAAAGAUUAGCCCGCACUAGAUUAGCUAGUUGGUGAGGUAAGAGCUCACCAAGGCGACGAUCUAUAGCUGGUCUGAGAGGACGAUCAGCCACACUGGGACUGAGACACGGCCCAGACUCCUACGGGAGGCAGCAGUUAAGAAUAUUGGACAAUGGGCGCAAGCCUGAUCCAGCCAUGCCGCGUGAGUGAUGAAGGCCUUCGGGUUGUAAAACUCUUUAGCCGAUGAAUAUAAUGACUGUAGUCGGAAAAUAAGCCCCGGCUAACUUCGUGCCAGCCGCCGCCGUAAAAC
rnacentral:rRNA from 1 species